ACUAAAAUUAAAAAAAUUGGUUAACACGACCACUCGUGGUGGCUUCACUCAGAGGUUGGAGAAGACAACAGGUGGACUAAACAUCAAGCCUCUGCACGAUUCAGGUAAGUGGAAUAAAAUACAUUGUAAAUAAACAUUAUUAAAACAGAUUGUGAAGUCAUUCAUUCAAAACUUGCUAUGACCUAAGCCUAAAUGACUUAAUUUCUUUUUAGAAUUAAGACAACCUUAGCAGGAGAGCCCCAGCAGUAACUUUCUCUCAAGCAGAUGAGCAAUAAGUUGCUUUGUAUGAACACCACCCUAACAAUCAAGUAGCCUGUUAACAGUAGACCAAAGGUAUGAUGAUCAAUUAUAAAUGCAAUAUGGUUGAAAGGUCAGUAAACAAACAACAAAAAGGUAAUUUCUUAAUAGAAUGUCUAUACAUUUUUUGCUUUUGUUACAUAUUUCAUACAUCAAAAUCAUUAAACGUUAAUAAUUAUGUAUUCCAACUUGUUGCAGCUUGACAAAAAUGUAGCUUGAAGAAGAAGGGACAGCUGAGUAACAAAGUCCUGGUACGCAGACGACGAUACUUUUACACUGACAAGAGUGUAAUGAUGAUGGAGACACAAGCCAGAGAAAGGGGGACCAAACACCAGGCCAGAAUUCUGCAUGAGUCAGAUCCAGUGGGUGCAGAUCAUCAUACAGAUGGUUCAAGUGUGGAUCCACCUAAUAUUCAAGGUAAAAGAGCAUUUGUUCACAGCAUUAUCUAAGAAAACAUAUCACUAGAUAUUACAUAUUAGAUGUUAAUGUCUGACUCUGAUCCAUACGAAACAGAUUUUCUGUCCUGGGACACUCGGCUAACCAUCAAGAAAGAACACAGUAGGUUAACAAGAAUCUGACCUCACGUUUGAUCAUUACAAAAUUAUGGCAGUACAUUACACAUUUAAGGACUGUUAUUCCUCUGGCUGAUUUAAAAAUACCCAAAAGUUCUUAAAAAGAAG